rnacentral:rRNA from 1 species
UAUAAUGGGUCAGCGACUUAUAUUCUGUAGCAAGGUUAACCGUAUAGGGGAGCCGUAGGGAAACCGAGUCUUAACUGGGCGAAUGAGUUGCAGGGUAUAGACCCGAAACCCGGUGAUCUAGCCAUGGGCAGGUUGAAGGUUGGGUAACACUAACUGGAGGACCGAACCGACUAAUGUUGAAAAAUUAGCGGAUGACUUGUGGCUGGGGGUGAAAGGCCAAUCAAACCGGGAGAUAGCUGGUUCUCCCCGAAAGCUAUUUAGGUAGCGCCUCGUGAACUCAUCUUCGGGGGUAGAGCACUGUUUCGACUAGGGGGUCAUCCCGACUUACCAACUCGAUGCAAACUACGAAUACCGAAGAAUGUUAUCACGGGAGACACACGGCGGGUGCUAACGUUCGUCGUGAAGAGGGAAACAACCCAGACCGCCAGCUAAGGUCCCAAAGUCAUAGUUAAGUGGGAAACGAAGUGGGAAGGCUCAGACAGCCAGGAUGUUGGCUUAGAAGCAGCCAUCAUUUAAAGAAAGCGUAAUAGCUCACUGGUCGAGUCGGCCUGCGCGGAAGAUGUAACGGGGCUAAACUAU